GUACAGCCCAGUACGGGAUCACGGGCGACGCUGAAGUCCUCUUCUCCUGCUGGUACCUUGUGUUGACACUGUCCUCCCUCACCAGCAUAUUCUACCUGAAGAACAUCAUUCUGCACUAAGUGUAAAGACCCAUAAAAGGCUUUUAAGGAUUCUCUGAAAGUGCUGAUGACUGGAUCCAAUCUGGUAGAGUUUGUUAAAAGCAGCGUGGGAUAUAAUCAGCAGUGCUUACAUGGGGAUGAUCGCCUUCUGUAGAAUUGCUCAUUAUGUAAAUACUUUAAUUCUACUCCUUUUUUUUUUUUUUUUUUGAUUAGCUGCAUUACCUUGUGAAGCAGUACACAUUGUCCUUUUUUAAGACGUGAAAGCUCUGAAAUUACUUUUAGAGGAUAUUAAUCGUGAUUUCAUGUUUGUAAUCUACAAGUUUUCAAAAGCAUUCAGUCAUGGUCUGCUGAGUUUCAGACCGUAGUUUACAAAGAAAAGAAAAAAAAAAAGAAUAUUGCAGUAAAAAUGUGCUUCUUUAAGGCUGCAAUACAAAUAUUCAGUUCCCUUCUUAAAUAGCAUUCUAUCCACAUUUACACAGAAAUAUUUUUUCUUUUUUGAUAAAAAAAAAAUCAAAUAAUAUUGCCUUCAAAAUAUUUCUUCAAAAUAUUACACAUAUCUAGAUUUUCUUCUAGCAUGAUAUUCAGGUUUCAAGAAUGAGCCUUGUAUUAUAACUGCGUUGUGCAGUACUGCUUUCUGUUUUCUUUCCUUUCUCCUGCAAAUUCAGCAUGGGUGUGCCUUCAUGAAACACUACUUUCCUCUUCCUCUCCAACAAAUCCAGAAUGUGUUUUGGGAAAUGCUAAAGCAUCCUUUUGAGCGCAAGGAAUCUCUGGUUUGAGGAGAAAGGUGCUAUUGGCUAAAAGGAAAAACCCCUCUCCCUCUUCCAGGGGGUCAUGGAACUACUUCAGACUCAGCACUUUUAGGCAAUCAGGCAAAAAUAGCACCAACUCCUUUUUAGGUUUUCCAUCCACCACCACUAACCAGUAGGCGAUCUCUCUAAAAACUGGUUUUUCCCAUUACAAAACAGAACGCAAAGUCUUUUGAGACACCUCUUGAAUGUAGGAAGGUUUCCCUGAAUCAUUCUAAAUGAAAAUCCCUAAAUGGCUGUAAAUGUGAGACGCUGAACAGUCCCUGUUGCAUCACUGGCAAAACCUAUGUGAAUUGGUAUUUUUUCUUGCACUUAAUUUUGUACUGGUUUGGCGUAUUUAGCAAUGAUAAGGGAUGCUUUUAAAUAUUAGAUACCUGAAAAUACAUGAAGUAUCAAGGAAAAUUUUAUAUAUAUACAUAUAUAUAUAUAUAAAAUACUUAUCUAUAUUAAAACAAGGUUGCUCCAAUAACUGUACUGAAGCACGUGUUGCCGUCCAUGAUAGAACCAUCUUUACUGACAGGACUUCACCCCCGAUGCACUAACUCUGCACAGCUGAGUCCUGACACACCAGUUUCCUAGUACUGCAUUUCACUCAGAGAAGGGUCAGGUUUCCAAAAUAGCAUCUAAUGUCACUAACUAAUUUUUAAUUUUUUAAAAAAAAAAACCAACAGCCCCAGAGAACAUUAACACGAAGCGUUGCUCACAGUUUACAGCUGAAAUUAAAAACUAUCAAAACUGCCAUCUGCAUAAAUUGCUGGGACGUGACUAUGGCCAACAGCCCUUGAAGGCAAGAUCUCCAGGUGACCCCAAAAGAUCUUGACUUGCUCACCAAAAAAACCCAGUUAUUAAUGACGAGAAUAAUAAAACCCCCAUCGAUGUUAUUACCUCCCUAGUUUCUAUAUGAGCAGGCGACACGAUUAUUCUGCUACAACAUUUUAGGUUUAGGAAAGGCAGCCCCCGAGUGUCGCUGGUUUCUGUAGAUGCUUUCGUGUUGCUCGGGUGUAGAGAGAAUACGAGGUGAAUCUGGUGUAGUUAUUGAUAAACUCCGACGCAGGGUAGAAACGGAAAUAUCUGUCUCCAAAACAGGGCAAUAAAAGGUCCCGGGUCCCUCUGUGUAUGUUCAGCCACAGAUUGUUCUAUGCCCAAUAUUUGCAGCCCCGUGCUGAGCAGUGACUCUUUUCGGAAAUGUGGUGUUUUUUUUUUUCAAACCUCGAAUAACGUGACAAAAAUUUGUUCUUUAAGGAAAUAGUAUGAACCCAAAUCAAACGACACUCAACACAGUCCUGAUCUCUCUUGUAUUGCAGCUUUAAAGUGCUAUAUUUUAGAAUCCGUUCGCUAGAAACAGUGGUGCUGCAGAAAGAAUCGUGUCAGUACGGUUUUGGGAAGGAAGAAAGAAAGAAGGACACGCUUAGCCCAACUCACGUGCCUCAUCUCCAGUAACACUGAGAGGUGGCUCUAUCCUGUGGCUGGAAAUUGCAGAUUUCACUGAUAUAUUUAAUUUCGGUGAUUCCUGAUAUCCAGAUCCUAGUAUUUCCAGCAACAGAACAGAAUGAACAGCAGCUUCAUGUAAUAUUUAAAAAAAAAAAGAGGUAUUGACCUGUUUGCAUUCGUACCAGGUCAAACCACUGGAGCACAGACAAGAUGCUGAAUUUCCACUUAAAUUUGGGGGGGACAGAAUUAUAGUCAAGUCAAAAAAAAAAAGAAAAAAAUGAAAAAAACAAACCCUGGGGAGGUUCCCGGGUGCCAAUGGUGUUUCCAUAGGUGGGAUGGGUGCGUGGUGUCAGUCAGAGAUGGGUGUUCAGCUGUGGGGUGUAGGGGGGUGUGUGCCCAGAUGUGUUGGGGGGUCUCCUCUCCCAGGGGCUGCUCGGGAGCCUCUACCCCCCGUCCCUCCCACAGCCAGAGUCAGGCCACCUCGGGCUUUUGCAGGAUUGGAGCUGUAGGUGGUGUCCAUCCAAUAAAGAAUCUUGGUUCUGGGUGAAUCUGUUCCGUGCAGUAAACUGGUCAUUGUACAGAUUGGGGCUUCUUGGGGCGUUUCUUCCAAAAAAAAAAAAAAAAGGGAGGCUGCGAGUUGAAGGCGGCCACAUUUUCCUAAAUGUAGCCACCCUGUAAUGCGUGGGGCACGUUGGCUGUAGGCAACUGUCUGAAGGUAUGUUCCAUGCUUCUUCAAAGCACUGACCCCCUACUGUUCAUAUCCGUCGGGCAAAUAUUAUUAUAUUUAUUCCCACCUUUCAAACGUGAAAAAUAAAUGGCUUAGCUCCAAGCAGUAUAACUGAAUAUAUUUAUAUUGAGGUUGUUGUCCCCCAUUGGAACCCCCAAAGCCUGUGAUGCCGUCAGGUCCUCCUUGUGCAAUAACUCAGGUCUGCAAUUACCGCUGCGCCGGUGUCGGACGCAGAACGAUGAUGCUCUAAUUAUACAGUUGCUGAUCCUGAUCACGCUAAUACCCAAUUAAAGGAUGUCUCACAACUUCUUGAACAAAUGCAGUUUCUCAAGGGUUUAUAAUUUGGCAGGAAACGCAUCCUUCAUAGCUAGACAGCUUUUUUUAAACUUUUCGAUAUAUGUACUUUUUUUAGAAACUAUGCUGUUUUUAAGACACGGGAGCGUUAAAAACCAUCACCAGUAAAAGCUGCUUUUUUGCACAUUUUCAGAGCUAGCGUUCUAGACAAACAAUGGUAAAUGUGAUGCCUACCAAAUCCUCCACUCGUCCACGUAACUGUGUUAUAAAGAAUGUGUAAACCAAAAUAUGUAUUUACAUGGAUAAACUAAUUGCCUUAAAGACUAAAUAUGCAUUUACUUCUAAGAUUGGAUCAGACUCGUGCCCAGUCUGGAGGUAAAUAAUCCAUAUUUCACAGUCUGCCAUGGAAGGUUUUGUUUCUUUGGAGAAAAAAAAAAAAAAAAAAA